rnacentral:rRNA from 1 species
CCAAUAGCGUAUAUUAAAGUUGUUGCAGUUAAAAAGCUCGUAGUUGAAUUUCGGGGCCAGUAGGUUGGUCGUGCCACUGGUAUGCACUGGCCUUACUGGUCCCUCCUUCUUGUAGAACCGUGAUGGCAUUAAUUUGUUGUUGCGGGGAAACAGGACUGUUACUUUGAAAAAUUAGAGUGCUUAAAGCAGGCUCGCGCUUGAAUACAUUAGCAUGGAAUAACGGAAUAGGACGAUCGAACCUAUUUUGUUGGUUUCUAGGAUCGACGUAAUGAUUAAUAGGGAUAGUUGGGGGCAUUAGUAUUCAAUUGUCAGAGGUGAAAUUCUUGGAUUUAUUGAAGACUAACUACUGCGAAAGCAUUUGCCAAGGAUGUUUUCAUUAAUCAAGAACGAAAGUUAGGGGAUCGAAGACGAUCAGAUACCGUCGUAGUCUUAACCAUAAACUAUGCCGACUAGGGAUCGGAUGAAGUUAAUUUUUUAAUGACUCAUUCGGCGCCUUACG